CCUACGGGAGGCAGCAGUAGGGAAUCUUUCACAAUGGGCGAGAGCCUGAUGGAGCAAAGCCGCGUGCAGGAUGAAGGCCUUCGGGUUGGAAACUGCUUUUAUAAGCGAGAAAUAUGAUGGUAAGUUAUGAAUAAGGAUCGGCUAACUACGUGCCAGCAGCCGCGGUCAUACGUAGGCUCCGAGCAUUAUCCGGAGUGACUGGGUGUAAAGAGUUGCGUAGGUGGCAUAAUAAGUAGCUAGUGAAAUCUGGUGGCUCAACCAUUCAGACUAUUAGGUAAACUGUUAAGCUCGAGACCGUUAGGGGUAACUGGAAUUUCUAGUGUAGGAGUGAAAUCCGUAGAUAUUAGAAGGAACACCAAUAGCGUAGGCAGGUUACUGGGACGGUUCUGACACUAAGGCACGAAAGCGUAGGGAGCAAAUGGGAUUAGAUACCCCAGUAGUC
rnacentral:rRNA from 1 species